AUGAUGGCAUCCUAGAGAGAGCCAAGAGGGCCUAAGGCCUGCUGGUGAUGCCGAGAAGGGGCCCAUGUUUCCAGUGUUAAAUAGUGUCCAAGAGAAUGUUCUUGCAGGAGGAGUGAUGGAGCCCAGGGAAGCUGAGUAAAAUUGUCACGGUGACAUCUGGGGGGAGCUCUUUUGAUUUCCUAUCACUGGUAUUAGGGACCCUGUGGUGAGGCUGGUCUCCUGGGACCCUCCUCUGACAUAUGCAUGCAGAUCACCUCAAGACUCCCUUACAGUUACAAUAUUGGUCUUAAAAUAAAUUUAAAAACCAAAACAUUGCCGCAAAGUUCAAAGCAAACACACACAAGACUGAAAUGGAGACAAUGCUCAGCUGAGGUACUGGGCUGGAUGAAUUCAUGGUUUUGAGGGAAAGAACUCUGGAGAGGCACAACUACCGUGGAUGACUCACUUGAUGACUUUGGUGUCCUGGGAACCACAGGAUUUUGGGAGAGGGACCUGGGGUCAGAGAAGUCCCUACUUGGGCUUUACAUCAGAGCAUCCUGAUGGCCCCUUCUGAACUCAGUUUUCUAUUAGUCUUAUCCAUUUGCAGCAUCCAGACAAGCCAGUAUUUCCAUUUCCACCAAGUGCUUGCAUUAGUGAACUCACAUGUAGGCGAGGUAGCACAUAAACAGCCCCACCGUGGAGGCUUCCCUGAGCCGCUGACACAGUGCCUCCUUCCACACCCCACCUCUCUGUGCAGUGGAGUUCUGCCGAAGCAGAGAACCUAACCUAAUGUCGCCUGCCUCUUCUCUUCCUGGUGACUCCUGGGACUUAGAGGAUAUCUGAACUCUGGGACCAAUGCUAGGCACCCCGUGGAACACGUGGGUGUGGAACAGCCAUUAAGAGUUGAUCCAUAAAGAUCGCUUGGACUGUGAAGCAAGCAAGGGAUGGAGCACUGAGACCCAGACUUCCCAUAGUCCAAAGACCUGCAGGAGGGUCUUCUAAGACCCCUCCCCCACCUUCUUCAGGUAUUACACUGGCUUGGCAGGAGCAGAAGACUGAAAAGACCAUGACAUUUCUGGAAAAUUCCACUUUAUAGUCAUGAACGAAGAAGAGUUAAAGGGAAAAGUGACGCUACUUUCAAAUACUUAUGCACUGAAGACUGCAUGGACUGUACUUCGGGACCACCUGUACUAGAUGGAAAAUGAGAACUUUUAAAAGCUGGGUCAGAACCUGAGAACUUCAGAACUGUUAUCUGUGGAACUCAGUGACAGCUCACAGGAAGUCAGGAGCACAGGCUCUGGAGCCGCAAGCACUGCAGUGGAAACCAGGACCCACCAUGCGACAGCUACGUGACCCAUGGGCAUUUAUUCCAUCUCUGUGUACACUGAAUCCUCACUCAGACUAGGCAACUAAUAAUCACAUUCAUUUCUUCAAAUUCCUGGAAGCAUUACACGGGUUAAUAAAAAGCACACAGAACAGUGCUGGGCUUAAAGUAAAGCUAUUAAGGGUUUUUCACCAUAAUGAGUGAAUACAAUCUAGAGGAAAUCAUUUAGAGA